rfam:Lupinus angustifolius cultivar Tanjil contig_52285, whole genome shotgun sequence.
AAACCAUGAUGAGGGCAAGCUUCAGUUAGCUCAUUUCAUCAUUCCCAUACCUCAACAAUUGAUUCUCCAUCCUUUUGACUAAAAUUUGCGAUGAGAUGCCUAUAAU